rnacentral:rRNA from 1 species
UACGAAGGGGGCUAGCGUUGCUCGGAAUCACUGGGCGUAAAGCGCACGUAGGCGGAUUGCUAAGUCAGGGGUGAAAUCCUGGAGCUCAACUCCAGAACUGCCUUUGAUACUGGCAACCUUGAGUCCGGGAGAGGUGAGUGGAACUGCGAGUGUAGAGGUGAAAUUCGUAGAUAUUCGCAAGAACACCAGUGGCGAAGGCGGCUCUCUGGAACGGUACUGACGCUGAGACGCGAAAGCGUGGGGAGCGAACAGG